AAUAGAUACCCGGGUAGUCCACGCCGUAAACGAUGAGUGCUAAGUGUUAGGGGGUUUCCGCCCCCUAGUGCUGCAGCUAACGCAUUAAGCACUCCGCCUGGGGAGUACGGUCGCAAGACUGAAACUCAAAGGAAUUGACGGGGGCCCGCACAAGCGGUGGAGCAUGUGGUUUAAUUCGAAGCAACGCGAAGAACCUUACCAGGUCUUGACAUCCCACUGACCGCUAUGGAGACAUAGUUUUCCCUUCGGGGACAGUGGUGACAGGUGGUGCAUGGUUGUCGUCAGCUCGUGUCGUGAGAUGUUGGGUUAAGUCCCGCAACGAGCGCAACCCUUGAUCUUAGUUGCCAUCAUUUAGUUGGGCACUCUAAGGUGACUGCCGGUGACAAACCGGAGGAAGGUGGGGAUGACGUCAAAUCAUCAUGCCCCUUAUGACCUGGGCUACACACGUGCUACAAUGGACGGUACAAACGGUUGCCAACCCGCGAGGGGAGCUAAUCCGAUAAAACCGUUCUCAGUUCGGAUUGUAGGCUGCAACUCGCCUAC
rnacentral:rRNA from 1 species